ACGAUAAUCAAGAGAUGAUACAAAAAUAAACAAAGAAGACGCUGAAUUUUCAGCAUCACUUGCCCGUAUUCCAAUUAUAUAGAAAUAAUGAGGUUAUUCCGUGGUUGUUAUGCAAAUGGGGAAAGAACUGAAAUGCAUUAAUGUGCAAAACAAGUUCAGGUCCAAUGGGAGCAUUACUUUGUACCAUCAUCAUGCUUCUAAUCUAUCGUUGUUCCACAGUAGCUCAAUGGUACAGUGGUCUCCGUUAACUGAUUGGUUGUAGGCUCGAAUCCUACUUGGGGAGAUUUGAUUCAUUCGCUUUGACCGUUAAUGAUAGGUUCAAAUUCUGUGGCAAAUUGAUGGCAGUCAAAGAUUGAGGACACUGCACAUAUUAUGAUUGUUAUUGAAGUCGGAUUCUUGAAGGUUUCAUUAAUCUAUCUUUUUCUAUGCUGCUCUUUUUU